CCCUUAGAUGUCCUGGGCUGCACGCGCGCUACACUGACGAACUCAACGAGCUUAUCACCUUGGCAGAGAUGUCUGGGUAAUCUUUUGAAAGUUCGUCGUGCUGGGGAUAGAUGAUUGUAAUUAUUCGUCUUGAACGAGGAAUUCCUAGUAAGUGUGAGUCAUCAGCUCGCGCUGAUUACGUCCCUGCCCUUUGUGCACACCGCCCGUCGCUCCUACCGAUUGAAUGGUCCGGUGAGGUUCUCGGAUUUUUUCUGUUGUUUGGUUCGCUAAACGAUUGAAGAGAGAAGUUACCCAAACCUUACCAUUUAGAGGAAGGAGAAGUCGUAACA
rnacentral:rRNA from 1 species